AAGGCUCGAGCUUGUUCGACAGCCGCUCUUAUUGUGAGCCAACACAAUCGGCUUGGGGGUCGAUUUCCGGUAGGCCGCGUGCGGUCAAGCUGGUAGACACCCACCUUCUCAGCAAGGUUCUCAGGCCGAGCGGCAACGGCAAGUUGGGGCCUUU
rnacentral:other from 1 species